AUCGCAAAAAAAAAAAAAAAAAAAAAAAAGCGAAGCGGAGCACGGAGGCAGGAGGAACGUCAUCACCUCCAAACCCCUCAGUGUCUCAAAGGUCCACGGGAACCCCAGAGUGUCCUAGAGCUCCAGAAAUCUCAGGACACUCAGACACCGAUUCAAACUCAUCUCUUGUCACUCCCGGAAGAGCUUAGGGUUGAGAUUUCCCCUAGCGAAUUGGAAAAUUUGGACUUAGCCUUUCUAGAGGCAGGUCAGCCCGAUUCGCAAAAGCCAAAAAACGGUCGUAGGGCAGAGACAGCAGCGAACUCGGUGACGGGGAGGACCGUGUCGGAACCUGAGGAAGGGGGGGGGGCACCCUUUUUGCGCAGGCGAGGCCGCGCCGAGGCAGCGCCGGGCAGACGGCAGCAGCCGGAGGCGGCGGCGGCGGAGCCAGCGGGUUGGGGCCGCGGAGGUGGUGGGAGGCGCGGGAACAGACGCAGUUUGCGAGGGCGCGAUGCCGGCAGCGGCGGCAGUUUCAGACGAGGCGGUGUCAAAGACGCGCGCAAGAAGCGGGACUCGCGGGACGUCCGGGAAGGGCUCUCAAAUCAUAGCGUCCACGUCAGACGCGGGCGGUAAACUUGGAGCAGCUGCAGGGCUCCAAGCGGUACCCGUAGGCAGACGCAGGAGACGCGCGGUGAUGAUGCAGGACCCGGAAGUCGGGGCGCGAAGGGUUUUUUCCCCAGUUCGCGGACGCGGGACGGGCACCGGCCGAGCAGGGACCGCGCGCGCCGGUUGCGGGUGUUGGCACGGGGCCAGAAUGGGAUCUGAGCUGUACUGGUGUCGAUCAGAGAGAGAAGGACAUUUCCGAGACCGCGCCUGCGCCGAGACGAGCGCAGGGGAGGCGCGGUCGGGGCGGGGUUGUCCACGCUCCCGUGACUGCACAGGCAGAGACGGAGCGUGGUCAGGGUACAGAGGCUGCCCCAGGUACCACCCCUCUCCGAUCCCAUGGCAACAGCCAGCACUCAGUUUCAGCCUCCACCAAAAUCUCAAGUUGGAGAUUUUUCGCGGGUGUAGCACAUGUUGAGUGAGGCACACCGAGCUCUUCAACAGGCUAGCCCCACAGAAGUGACAGAAAUAGCAUUUAUCAGAAAAUCAAGUUUCAGAUGCAAAAGAUGGGCGUGGAAAAAAAAAAAAAAAAAGUUGUCCAAAAUCAGAGAAAAGUGAGAAAGCACCAGGCUUUUGCCCAAGAUACAGAAAAAAGAAGGGAAAAUCAAUGCAAAUCAAUGUUAUUCCAAAUAUGAUGUAGAUGGAAAUCUUCUGUUUUGAAAAAUGCCUCUCAGGGAGAGAGACGGCACCAUAUAAAGAUAGAAGUAUUAGUAAUGAUUCAAUUACCCAAAAUGUCUCUGAAGACAGAGCAUUUGAGAAACAUCAAUCAGAUCCUAUCUGUGGGGUCAUCAGCUGAUUCUCCAAUGGUGCAGAGUUUUAGGGAUUGUUGUCACUGAGUUUGUAACCUGUGUUAUUUUUAGAUUUUAUAUGUAAUACUGAUAAAUAAGGAUUGCUGUUAAUGUUAUAUGAAUACUUUAAAAAGGUUGUCUUAACUCCUUCAAAUACUUCCUGUUGAUAAGUUGAUUAUAUAAUGAGAAUUCUCAGAAUUUGUGAUAAGAAUUAUUAUCAGGGUAUUGUAGUGUUUAUAGCCAGCCAGUGUUCCACUAUCUCUUUUGUGUGAAGCCACAUGUCUCUUCAGAAUCUUGCCUUUAUUUCCUAACUACUCAUAUGUUUUUGGAUUUCUUUUAAAUCCAGAUUGCCGGUUUUGUGGUUUUCUUCAUUUAUUGUUUCUUCAGUUAUUACAGAGGUACUUCAGCCAAGAAUUCAAGAAGUCUACUGUGUUUGAAGAAUUUCUAUCCCAACAGAAGAUUCAGAGGGAUCCGAUUAUUUAAUGGUUUGAUAGAUCUUUAAUCCUAAGGUUUCCUAUUCAUAAUUGCUGUUUUUAAGAGUCUCAUUUUAAGAAUGUGCUAAGUGAUAUCCAUCAAUUAGAGUUCGGGCUCUGGCCAAGUCCUAGCUCUACUUGAAUGGAGUGAUUGACAAUCAGCCCAGAUGUUUUCUGCAUCAAAAAGUAUUCAAGUCCUUUUGGCUUGGCAAUUUGACCGUCUAUGAUAGCUGAGCCUGUUUUCAGAAGGAGUUUGGAGAAACAUGAAUCCAGACAUGGAUUCUCCAGUUCUCUGUUGUUGUAAGGUUCAUCAGCUGUCGCAGACUCUGGGAUGACAGUUCAGUGUUGUAGUGUUUGACAAUUGUAUGAUUUCAGAUGUGUUAUUGGUUAUGUGUAUUAUCAAAUUGAUUUCUAAAUGCUGUCAUUUUACAUUUCCCUAUGCAAUAUUGCAUAGAGACUGAAACAGAGCCGAUCAAUGUUUUAUUUUCAUAUCAGGACCCAUUCUUCACCUCCGAGAUUUUGAGAAAAUCCUCCAGUCUCUUCGGGGGCGUGGAUUUGUUUGUGUUUUAGCAGGUACAAAAGUCCAGGUGAACCUCAGUGAAGAAUGUGAAACUCCAUCCAGUGCAAGACAAUGCUGACAAGAAGCGUGGGCAAGAAAACGCUGACCAUUCCAUAAGCAGAAAAGAAGAUGUAGAGAUGUGGACUGCACAGAGAUUCCAACCCUUGUGCUUUGCCCACAGAAGACUGGGGACUUUGGGUCUCUUCAUGGGUGUGGGAAUCAGUGGUGUUGUAGAACUGUUGUUAGAUGAUAGCUUGUUAUAUUUUAGUAGGGCUUUUAGUUCUCUUGUUUAUUGUGCCAUGCAUUCUUUUGUGCGUACGGUGGGUUGUGAACCAAGUUGCCAAAGAGGUCUUCUUGGUGCAAACAGAAGGGGGAGAUGUCAGAACUCAGGACAUCCCUCUGGGAGUCCGGAGUUCCUGGGACCCUUGCCAGGGGGCUCGAAGACCCUGGCACACAGCCCAGAACACCAGUGGGUUUGAUUACAAACCAUGGAACAACUUACCACCUUUACAUGAAGAGAUAAAAGCCACGGCAGUUUAGAUAGUGUAAGGAUAAAAUAAUUACAGAGUGUAAAUGUAGGUUUUAGGAUUUUUGGUAUAGGGGUUUCUGGGGACAAGAUGGAGGGAUUUGGGUGUGUCUAGCCUUUCUUCUUCUUCUUCGUCUCUACCUCCAUCUUGUCUGGUGAUGUUGGCACUUUUAGAUUGGUCUAGAGUAGAAACCCACUGUCUAACAUAGGUGAUAGGUAUUGGAAAGUAAUUGUAAAUAUUGUACACGUAAUUUUUAGUAUGUAAAGAUAACACCGCACUAGGGGUGGGCGGAGUGCCUCUGACUGUCCUGCCGAACGGAUCUCGGCUGGACAGGGAGAAAGAAUUUUAUAGAUAAGAUACAAUAAACAACCUUGAGACUGAAAAAUGAAGAGCUCUGACUCCUUCUUUAAGCACCGGGCGAGGAAAAGAAACUUUCAAACUUUUCUUGGGGUCACUCUGACCAGCUAGAAAGAGAGAUCCCGACAGUUCAGCUCAGCUUUUGAUAGUGUCUCCCACAAGAUCCUUCUGAACAAAAUGUCCAGCCCACAGCUGGAUGAACACAUCGUGCAAUGGUUGAGUUCUGCAGGGUUCCAUCCUCAUCCUUGUGCUCUUCAACAUCUUCAUAAAUGACUUGGACGCAGGACUGGAAGAGUGUCCAGGGUUACAGAAGACCCACAGGAGGACCAGACCUUCCACAGGACCACUGCUUUCAACAAGACUGCAACCAUCACUUCAACAGGACUGCAACCACUGCUUAACCUGACUGCAACUACCACCCUGACAACAGGGUGCCAGGUUGUACUCUGACUUUGUGGGUUUAAGCCACUUUUUCUGUAUCAUUGCAUUUAUUGUAAUCUUUCUAUUAAAUUGCAAGUCCAACCUGAAA